CAUUUUGGACAGGUUUAACAGCUGUCUGAAAUGCUGAAUUGUUGGUGCCCAACAAUUCUUUGGCCUCAUCCUCCAUAAAAGCCUUCAGAAUUGUGAAAAGAACAAGCUAAAUGAUAUAUGACAAUCUUAUAAAUAAAUAGAUCCAUAACUCUAAGAUAGAUCCAAGGCUGAAUAUCUCAAAUGGCUUAGUUCCCAUUAGUCACUUGCCUCGGCGGCACCUCAAGUGUAUUAGCCUCACAAUUUUUUCAGCACCAUCUAUUAUCUUCCUUAUCAUUGACAUGAAAUUACCUUUGCAGAAUUCAACACAUGCACAUUCUAGUUCGCUGUCAAGUAGAAUGUGUUUGCUGGAUGCAGAAUUAAAUGUGAUGUCUACUUUAAACUUUUUCCCAAUUCAUUGUAUUCAACAAGUUGAAGGAAUGAUGAAUACUUCAAGACCUUGACAGAUUCUAUUAAUUCGAGUGCUCCAAAUAUCAAGAUGAUCCACACUAAAAGGCUUACUGGAAUUAUUGGUUUCCUCAUAAGCAAGAGAAUCAAUCCUUUGCAUCCCACUACAGACCUACGUGCCACAAACACCCCACUCCCAAAGAAAGGGCUGAAUCCUAAUACACCAGCUCCCAGUGGAGAACUGCCUGCCUGCAGUGUUCUAAAGAGACCAAGACAUCACAACUUCCAAUUUAGGCCUGAAAAAAAAAAAGCAAACCAGAAGUAGAAAUCUUAAAAGAACAUGUGAAUCACUACAAUGAGCCCUGAGAGAAUCAUCUCACGUGCAUUUGACAGCAAAGGUUUCCAAAGACAUCGAAACUUGAUUCUGAUCAUGUUCCUGGAUAUUCUCCUUCAUCCAACAGCCAAAAUAUGAGUACUCCUGAUUUCAACAUAUUCUUCAAUUUUAUUCAAAGGUUGGGCCAUACCAUAAGGGAAUACUUCCCUGAAAGCAAGGAGACCUGCCACAGAGAUUUUCUGACUAUAAUGUCUACAACUCAAAAUGCAAAAUAUCUACUAUCUGGGAAGUUAUCCAGAUUUUCUGUGCUGGCAGGUUGCUGAGUUGCCCAGAAAGGCACUUGUUUAAAUACAAAGAAUGGUGUGUAGAGGCACAGUACCAGCAAGAAAUUAAUUGCCUAGGAGAAGGAAGAAAAAAUAGUGAGUCUACUUCACACCAGAUACCAAGUCAGAACUGCUGCGUUGUUGGUUGCUGUAUGUCCAGCUUCUAAAAUGGUUUUGCUGCAUUGACUCUGCUUAAUAAAUACUGUUUUGCAAGGACA